AGAACGGAAGUGACGUUCGUCAGUCAGAAGAAAGAAAAAAAAACUACAGUCGUCGACGGCGAAGCUUAUUAAAGAACAAUAACGCAACGCUUCAGUCUGAUGUUUGUCAGCGGAUGAACGGCCAAGUAGUUUACAUCAAAAGGGGAUGGCAGGAAGCUUAUAUCCACUUACUGUCCUGAUGGCCAACUGUUUGGUUUAUGAGGUUUGUAUAAUUGGAGGAAUUGAAAUGUUAAGUCCUGCAAUUGUUAACAUAGCCAUUUAUGAAAUAAAGUCCUUGUAACUGAA